GUGCUCGCUACAGCAGCACAUAUACUAAAACUGGAACAAGACAGAAGAUUAGCAUGGCCCCUGUGCAAGGAUGACACACAAAUUCAUGAAGUAUUCCAUAUUAAA